GGAGGACUGAGGGGGAGUGGGAGGGGGCGAGGAGGACUGAGGAGGAGCGAGGAGAAGCGAGCAUUGAAUCCCCGCAUAAGUGAGGAGGUCGUUAUUCGGCUGCUUCUAUGCACGAAGAGAUGUUUUAUAAUAUUUGAUGCCACUCGGGAUUAUUUCCGCGGAAUGAAGAUGCAGGUCGUGCGUCAGUGGGACAGCUUCCAAUCAUCAUCACCAGAGGACGUCACUCGCGAGGCUGCUGGCUCUGCAGAUUCAUGACCCGCCGAUGUCCACUCCGCGACCUCAUGAUGUCCACUUGGUAACCGGCUGAUCUCCACUCGGUGACCCGCGGCUCUUUCAGUGGGAGGUUAUUUGGUGAUAUCACGUGUCCCGCUGCAGUAGCAGGUUUCCAACGCUUGUGUGCGGUAUUGGUCCCGGGUGUGAUGGGGAGUCUCUGACGGUCAGACAGGGAUCGAUCAGCAUCGAACAACCAUUACAGCAGGCGAAGAAGAGCUGCAGAAUAACAACAGGACCUACCAUCUGUUUAACAUCUGUACUUGUAUGUUUUCCAAUCCAAUGUGACCAAAAAGAAAUGUCUUAACUGUCUUGGUGUCCCGUUCUGUUUUUACUCCUGUGAUGAUUAGGUUCAGCAUCCGAUAAAGAAAAUAAAACAUUCUGGUUCUGAAUCUUAA